GUCGAACGCUGGCGGCGUGCUUAACACAUGCAAGUCGAACGGAAAGGCCCUGCUUUUUUGUGGUGCUCGAGUGGCGAACGGGUGAGUAACACGUGAGUAACCUGCCCUUUGCUUGGGGAUAACUUCAGGAAACUGGGGCUAAUACCGGAUAGGAGCUCCUGCUGCAUGGUGGGGGUUGGAAAGUUUCGGCGGUUGGGGAUGGACUCCCGGCUUAUCAGCUUGUUGGUGGGGUAGUGGCUUACCAAGGCUUUGACGGGUAGCCGGCCUGAGAAGAUGACCGGCCACAUUGGGACUGAGAUACGGCCCAGAAUCCUACGGGAGGCAGCAGUGGGGAAUAUUGCACAAUGGGCGGAAGCCUGAUGCAGCAACGCCGCGUGCGGGAUGACGGCCUUCGGGUUGUAAACCGCUUUCGCCUGUGACGAAGCGUGAGUGACGGUAAUGGGUAAAGAAGCACCGGCUAACUACGUG
rnacentral:rRNA from 1 species